CUCUGAAUUAUCACAUGUGGGAUUAUAGACAGAACAAUAAGUGUGAGAAUCCGUCAUAUUCUCGGUUCUUCCUCUGAUUCCCGCUUUGCACUCUUGGAUUCUCCUGAUGAUCUGUAGUCACCUGAAAUGGUCUCCACCAGUCCUGAAGGAGUUCCCAUGAUGCUUUGCACUUGUUGGCCCUUUCUGCCUUCACUCUGCGGUCCAGCUCACCCCAAACCAUCUGGAUUGGGUUCAGGUCCGGUGACUGUGGAGGCCAGGUCAUCUGGCGGCGCAGCACCCCAUCACUCUCCUUCUUGGUCUCAUAGGGGGAGAUUUAUCAAAACCUGUCCAGAGGAAAAGUUGUCCAGUUGCCCAUAGCAACCAAUCAGAUUUCUUCUUUCACUUUUAACAAGGCCUCUGCAAAAUGAAAGAAGCGAUCUGAUUGGUUGCUAUGGGCAACUUUUCCUUUGCUCAGGUUUUGAUAAAUCUCCCCCACAGUCCUUACACAGCCUGGAGGUGUUUGGGGUCAUUGUCCUGUUGGUCCAACUAAACGCAAACCGGAUGGAAUAGCAGCCGCUGCCAGAUGCUGUGGUAGACAUACUGGAAGAUUUCAGUUUUCUGAGGAUCUUUGGUGAUCAUGUGAUCUGUCACAUGGGUGGGAGGAGUCAGGCUCCAGAGUGUACAGCUGAAGGAAGUAAAGGACCUUUGUUGAUGUCACGAUCAUGUGAUCAGUCACGUGGGUGGGAGGAGUCAGCCUAUAACCUACAUGAGAUGACAGAAUGAAUAUCCCGCUCACCUCCCGAUUAGAUCGCACGACUUGUUCCGAACACAGCAGCGUCUUCAGAAAACAAGCGAUGAUCCAGCACACGUGACAUUUUAUCUUUAUUUCAGCACUUGACCCACAGGUGAAGGGUGAGGCAUUGGAGCCUCCGGAGAGAGAGAGCGCAUGCGCUGGAGACGUGUCUGAUGCUGGAGUUGAUUUUAUCUGUGUGUCAAGUUACGAAAUAAAGAUAAAAUUUCACAUG